rnacentral:rRNA from 1 species
GACGAACGCUGGCGGCGUGCCUAACACAUGCAAGUCGAGCGGGGACAAAGGAGUAGCAAUACGAAUUUGUUCUAGCGGCGGACGGGUGAGUAACGCGUGAGCAACCUGUCCCAGUCAGGGGGAUAACGAACCGAAAGGUUCCCUAAUACCGCAUAAGACCACGAAGUCACAUGGCUUUGAGGUCAAAGGAGAAAUCCGGACUGGGGUGGGCUCGCGUCUGAUUAGCUAGUUGGUGAGGUAAAGGCCCACCAAGGCGACGAUCAGUAGCCGACCUGAGAGGGUGAUCGGCCACAUUGGAACUGAGACACGGUCCAAACUCCUACGGGAGGCAGCAGUGGGGAAUAUUGGGCAAUGGGCGAAAGCCUGACCCAGCAACGCCGCGUGAAGGAAGAA